rnacentral:rRNA from 1 species
UAGGGAAUCUUCCACAAUGGACGCAAGUCUGAUGGAGCAACGCCGCGUGAGUGAAGAAGGCUUUCGGGUCGUAAAACUCUGUUGUUGGAGAAGAAUGGUCGGCAGAGUAACUGUUGCCGGCGUGACGGUAUCCAACCAGAAAGCCACGGCUAACUACGUGCCAGCAGCCGCGGUAAUACGUAGGUGGCAAGCGUUAUCCGGAUUUAUUGGGCGUAAAGCGAGCGCAGGCGGUUUUUUAAGUCUGAUGUGAAAGCCCUCGGCUUAACCGAGGAAGCGCAUCGGAAACUGGGAAACUUGAGUGCAGAAGAGGACAGUGGAACUCCAUGUGUAGCGGUGAAAUGCGUAGAUAUAUGGAAGAACACCAGUGGCGAAGGCGGCUGUCUGGUCUGUAACUGACGCUGAGGCUCGAAAGCAUGGGUAGCGAACAGGAUUAGAUACCCUGGUAGUCCAUGCCGUAAACGAUGAAUGCUAGGUGUUGGAGGGUUUUCCGCCCCUUCAGUGCCGCAGCUAACGCAUUAAGCAUUCCGCCUGGGGGAGUACGACCGCAAGGUUGAAAC